AACGAACGCUGGCGGCAGGCCUAACACAUGCAAGUCGAGCGAGGACUUCGGUUCUAGCGGCGGACGGGUGAGUAACGCGUGGGAAUGUGCCCUUCUCUACGGAAUAGCCCUGGGAAACUGGGAGUAAUACCGUAUACGCCCUAUUGGGGAAAGAUUUAUCGGAGAAGGAUCAGCCCGCGUUGGAUUAGGUAGUUGGUGUGGUAAUGGCCUACCAAGCCGACGAUCCAUAGCUGGUGUGAGAGGAUGAUCAGCCACACUGGGACUGAGACACGGCCCAGACUCCUACGGGAGGCAGCAGUGGGGAAUCUUAGACGAUGGGGGCAACCCUGAUCUAGCCAUGCCGCGUGAGUGAUGAAGGCCUUAGGGUUGUAAAGCUCUUUCAGCUGGGAAGAUAAUGACGGUACCAGCAGAAGAAGCCCCGGCUAACUCCGUG
rnacentral:rRNA from 1 species